GAAAUUUUUUUAAUCCCACAUACAUCAACAAGAUCUAGUACCACCUAUAAGCACUUAGAAGGAUCUUACAGUACCCAAUCGUAAACGUCAAUGUAUUUUUCACCACAGCGAAAUGAAUUCAUCCCACGACCCGAAAUGAACCAUUCCUUACAUCAACUAAUUCUACCACUAAUAGACAAGAUUACAAAGCUAUCAUGAGCAAUCAUAUUCCUCUGAGAGAUCCUAGCAAAGAGCACUAUAUAAAGACCAGAGCAGUUGGUAUCAAAAGAUAGGAUUGGAGUGCAAGACCAAUCACUACAACACCAAAACUGGUGCAUUUGCUCAAAGAGGACAAUCAAAUUCACAGGUGACUCAAACUUUGAGUCUUGUAAAAAAAUCUGAAGCUCAUUACCACUGGUUUCGAAAGGUGGGAUUUUAACCUGAAGACAAGCAUCCAAUCGAGACUAUCAUUUAACUCCUAGCUCUUGGGCACCAAAUUUUUUGAUUUGAGAGCACGGCUCAAGCAGCAACAACACCCAGGUGCAUCGUCUCGAGGGAAGCUGCCUCAAAAGUUACUCGCCAUCUCUGAACCUGAAGCCCGAAAGGAGAGCAACGGAUCCAAAACCGGAGUUUGGAGAGUGCUGUGUCAACAAUUCAAUCGGGUCCCCAAUAAACAAGAGUGUAGAGCACAACCACCAGUUAGCUCUAAAGCCAACACCGGCGUCGGGAUAAUGAGACUCUACCAUAUGGUUUUCAAAGCUCCACUCCUCUGGCUGACAACUUCCUAAGAUGUGGAAACCUUCCAUAUGUUGAGAAACAAAACUCUUGUUAUCUCCAACACCCGAGGGUGAAUCCAAGCUUGAAACACGUUGAUACAAAAGGAACCCACUCCUGUCGGUUUGCUACUCCUGGUUUUACGACAAGGAGUGAAAUGGAGGACACCGUGACUGGAGGAGCUAGAGAGAGCGAGACAAACUCUUGACAGAAUCAAGCCAUAGACGACUCAGACACUAACUUCAGUCGAUUGUAAUUGCACGCGCUGUCUUCAGUGGAUCUUCACCGACACGCGCCGACCAAGAGCUCCUGCACGCGUCCUCCUUAUGCAGGACCACCGGAGGCCUUCCCAAACAAAGAUCCAGAGAGUGUUCACCUACCAAACUACAGUCGGAGCAAACCACCACUGACCUAAGUUCCACUCCUUCGAGAAAACGCCUCAUCGCUUUUGGAUCUGGAGGGUUUGAGAAGGAGGAAGCUCCUGAGCAAUUCACGCGCCGCCGCCAUGAGAGCACCGCCGUAAAUCUGAAGGGGAAAAUAGAUCUGACGAGCUAUCAGCCCUAAAAGCCGACUCUCUGAACAUCCACCACUCCUUUCACCUUGCCGCUUCUCCAUAAGCGUCAGUAACUGCCGGCCAUUGAUCCUCGUAAGCAGAUUUUCGGUAUUUGGUUUCCCGACGAAAACAGAGUAGAGAGCAUAUCGGAUGGGGAUGUGGAGGUGUUGAAGAGAGCAAAAUGGAAAAAAAAUAGAAGGGAGAGGGGCGGAGCCUCCGGCACCGGCAAGGAGCGCCGAGCCGGAGCGGAAGGUGGAGGCGGCUAUGGUUUCUUCAAGUCAAGUAGAGAGAAAAAGUCUCGUGUUUUUUUUUACUCCAGGAACAUUUUUAAAAAACGAUGUGUAUCAAAAUAUGGUGAGUUAUAAAUUAUAAUUAUCUAACAUGUCUUGUUACCGUAAACGAGUUUAGCCUUAUAUAGAUCCAUUGAUUUGACCUAUUUUUACAAAAUUUACGCUAAAACUAUAUUAGAAACUAAAAUAGUGACCGAGAAAUGAAAAGAAAUAAUGCAUUCCUAAAUGUUUCUAAAAUUUUUUACCAUUCAUAAAGAAUUGUUUUUCUUUUCCAUUUCUUUUUAAUAAUUUUUUUUAUUGUAGAAAAAUAUAUAACAAAUUAUUCAUGUUCAUUAUUUUCUUAUUUAUUUCAAUGUUCCUUUGAUGGUUACCAGAGCUAAUGGCAAACGUAGUAUAGCAUUUAGAGAAAGUGGAUAUAAAAAUUAAUUAUAUAAAAAUAAUAAUUUAAUGUUAUUUCUUAAACUGAUAAUUGUUGUCUCCAUACUAAAAGAUAAAUUUGUGUCCACUAACUCUUGUUCGGGCGGUUACUUUUUUUUUCUAGAGAAAGAGACAUGCAAGUUUUUUUUUUAAAGCUGGAUAACUCUUGUUCUGUUACUUAUUUGAGAAAUCAAAUUAUUUUAUAAUUAAUUUUUAUAUCCAAUCUAUCCUAUACUGAAAGCCAAAUAUAAAGAGAUUAUAGGAUGUCCACGUCGACAAUUAUAUUUGGCCAAUGAAAAUAUUUCAUUAAUACAUGUAGGAUCUGCUCUGUCAACUGAUGAUUUCAUAUGGGCUCUGAUCUGUUCUCAUGGGCUUUAUCGGUUAGCAAUGGGCUGAGCUAUCGGGUUCAAUUGAAAAAAAAAUUCCCAAGGCGGAGAACACGACGAACUACGCCUCUCUCCUCUAUCUCUUCGAACACGAAAAACUAAUCCCUCUUGCCUGUUCAGUCGCUAUUAAUCUCGAUACAACUUCUCGCGGAUAAACAGGUUCUGAUUGCAUCGCCUCAAAGGUUUGUCAAUAUCGGUUAGUUUCUUUGUUAAUAUUGUGCCACACCAUCUCUUUCAUCACAUGAUCUUAGUCGGUUCUUUCUCUACAAUCAGCUGAUUGCUUCAUGACUUUCCUACUUUGGCGUAUUGAAACUCAUAUCCAGGAGCUGGAGGAGGAGCUUAAGCUUCUCAAGAAUCACUCUCAAGUCUCAACCAAAUAUAGUUGUAAGCAAUAAAAGGUUUUUGUAUUUCUUACAAAUGUUUGUUACGCCCACUACGUCUUUGUUUCGUUUAUAACUCUUUCAUUUAAACCCACCGAGAAUUUUGUUUCUUUUAUAACAUGAAACAUGAAACAUGAAACAUGAAAGUAAGAACUUGUGAUUGAUUUAUUAGAAAGCUGUGUUUUUGUGAACAUUAUGGUCCUGCAGAGAGAGAUAGACAAGGUUUUCUAAUAAGCAGCUUUUCCUUCGUCUCAGUGAGUCUCCUCUUUCCAUGGACGAUGGGAGAAGGUAAGUUUACAAGACAUCCCCAAUUUUGCAAUGCGUUUCUUCAAACUAAUUGUUAUAAACUUGAUUUGGAGCUUUUGGAUGUAGAAGAGAAGCGGGAAGAAAUAUGGAUGUUAUUAGUGAGGUAGCUGGAGCAUUGGCCACGGCUGAGGGACCCAAGAGCUUGAACUCAAGUGUCAUCUAAACUAAUGCUCUUCAGGACUUCUUUUUAAGGUAAAGAAUGCAUCUUCUUUGCUCGUGAGUUGAGAUUUUAUUUCUAUCUUCUCGAUCGUUUAUUUGUGGAAGUCGAGAGCUUGGGGGUUUGAGCCUAACGUCUCCACAUUGGUUCUUGUGAUCCACGCGUUACGUAGUUUGCGAUUGUACGUUGACGGAGAGAAGAUUCAUAGCUACGUGAUCUGUAGUGGGUUCUGUGGGGUUUCAUCUGUUCAAAAUUCGAUAUUGAGCUUAUACGGAGAAUGUGAUUCGCUAAGCGCACGCAAACUGUUCGACGAAAUGUCUGAAAGAGAUGUUAUUUCAUGGAGUGUUGUGAUUCGAAGUUAUGUGCAAAGUCAAUAACCUGUUUGUGGGUGGAAGUUGUUUAAAGAGAUGGUUCGUGAGGGGGAAACAGAGCCUGAUAGUGUAACUGUAACGAGUGUUCUCAAAGGCUGUGUUGUUCUUGAGGAUGUUAAUAUGGGAAGAUCAGUUCAUGGGUUUUCUAUACGUAAAGGCUUUGAUUUGGGAGAUGUUUUUGUGCGUAAUUCACUCAUCGAUAUGUAUUCCAAAGGAUUUGAUGUAGAUUUUAAGUGGUUAUCUCUUUGGUCUUCUCAUUAACAUUAUUCCUGUAAAUAAUCUUCAAAGGUCGAUUUUUGAAAUGCAAUGUAGGUUUGAUUUUCACAAAUAUCUGUUUGUAUCAGAUUCACCUUUGUAGAGUGAUUGUUUCUAUAUAUUUAAUUUCAUCUGUUGCAGCGGAGUCAGUUGUGGUUGUGGUAGAAGAAGUGGUUCAAUGACAAGAGUGAUGGUAAGAAGUAAAAUAAAGCUAGAAGACUAAAGGAGAAGAUGAAGAUCAAUGAAAAGCGGGUGGUUGGGUAAAGGAGGAGAGCCUAAAAGUUUAAGAAGGUUUUGAUUGGACAAUUGAAGUCUCAUAAGGGAAGGAACUAUAAAAUUAUUUUCACCUCCUGAAUUAUUUGUCGUGCCUGGAGGUUGUGAUUCCGGGACCGAACUCUGUUUUUGUUUUCUUUGCUGGAGAUACGAAAAACAUUUAGAGAUAUCAUUUGAUAUACUAAGCAGUUCAGAUUCUAGGUUGUCCUUAUAGAGACAGUAAAAUUUAGGAUCAGAGUUCUUAACAAAGUGAUUUCAAGCAAGCUUACUUUCUGAUUUCAUCUCAGAAUCCUCCCGUGAGCUAUAUACUAAUUGUUUUAGAGUAUCCAAUCUCCUUAUAUCCAGAACUUCAGAAGCAGAGUAUAUGUUCUUACACAUUGACUUCAGGUCGAUAACAUCAUAUAACAAUAAUUCUAUUUUUUUUUUCAAGUGCAAGCGAUACUGAAUUCACAUAGAAAACCACCGACUUUGUUAGAUGCAUAAUGCUUACCUAUGAUUAAGCAACAUCAGUCAUCAAUACUAUAAUGUGAGAAAAUCGAAUUUUGUUAUCAUACAAUGCAACACACAGAAUCACAUAACGAUAAGUUCUCCAGACUUCACUUUAUUAUAUUGAAAUCUGAGAUUAAUAGACAAAUGAACAAGACAUGAGUUUUAAAAUCCAUCCCACACAAAACUUUCCCGUGCAAAAACGGCUACUCACCCGAGAACACAGCCAGUUUUUGAACAUGAGUUACAAUCAAUCCAUGUUUUAGAAAAAAACAAUCAAAAAGGAGAAUAAGAACAAUUGCAUGUUGCUUUUUUAUAAAUACUUCCACGCACACAAAUAAACAUAUAUGUUAUGUGUUUUUUUUGGUGCAAAUGUUAUGUGGUGUUCAGUCAUUAUUUUAGGUUCAAUGUAAUCUCCUUUACAUAAUCAAUAGGCAAAGCUGUCUGUGGAUAAGCUUUGGUUUCUAAUGAUGCACGUAAUCAGUAAAUCUAAUGAAACUAAGGUUAUACACGAAACCAUGUAUGAGGACUUUUGCUCCUAGGGAUCGAAACAACUUUUGAAAGAAAAAAUUAUAUACAUACCCUAUUAUUUAUAUAAUUUACAAAAAGGUCUAUGAAAACAAAAGAAGCUAGAUUACCAAAACAAAUGCAAAUAAGAAAUCCGAUGAAUAAAAAAUAUGUAUUAAUAUGCCUAUGAUUCAAAAAUAAAUUUCUCCGGAAAAGUAAACAACAAAAAAUUGCACUCAUACAAAAAAAUAAACAAAACAUACAUUAUAUAUUAUAAUAUAUUUAAAUUAAAACAAUUACUGAAAAAGUCAUAUGACAAAUAUACUAUUUUUAACAUGAAAACUCAAAUAUUGGAACAAUCCAACAUAUAUACACUCACCAAAUAUACAUCAUACAUUACUAUGAGCUAAAAAACAAUAAAAAAAUAUCCAAACCAUGAAAUAGUAAAUCAAGCAA